AUUGAACGCUAGCGGCAGGCCUAACACAUGCAAGUCGAGCGGAGCGGCGGACGGGUGAGUCAUGCAUGGGAAUCUGCAUGGUAGUGGGGGAUAACGUCCGGAAACGGGCGCUAAUACCGCAUCCUAUCAGAUGAGCCUAGGUCGGAUAAGCUAGUUGGUGGGGUAAAGGCCUACCAAGGCGACGAACCGUAACUGGUGUGAGAGGAUGAUCAGUCACACGGGAACUGAGACACGGUCCAGACUCCUCCGGGAGGCAGCAGUGGGGAAGAUUGGAAAAUGGGCGAAAGCCUGAUCCAGCCAUGCCGCGUGUGUGAAGAAGGUCUUCGGAUUGUAAAGCACUUGAAGUUGGGAGGCGUUACCAACAGAAUAAGCACCGGCUAACUUCGUGCCAGCAGCCGCGGUAAUAC
rnacentral:rRNA from 1 species